GAUGAACGCUGGCGGCGUGCCUAAUGCAUGCAAGUCGAGCGAACAGACGAGGAGCUUGCUCCUCUGACGUUAGCGGAGGACGGGUGAGUAACACGUGGAUAACCUACCUAUAAGACUGGGAUAACUUCGGGAAACCGGAGCUAAUCCCGGAUAAUAUAUUGAACCGCAUGGUUCAAUAGUGAAAGACGGUUUUGCUGUCACUUAUCGAUGGAUCCGCGCCGCAUUAGCUAGUUGGUAAGGUAACGGCUUACCAAGGCAACGAUGCGUAGCCGACCUGAGAGGGUGAUCGGCCACACUGGAACUGAGACACGGUCCAGACUCCUACGGGAGGCAGCAGUAGGGAAUCGUCCGCAAUGGGCGAAAGCCUGACGGAGCAACGCCGCGUGAGUGAUGAAGGUCUUCGGAUCGUAAAACUCUGUUAUUAGGGAAGAACAAAUGUGUAAGUAACUAUGCACGUCUUGACGGUACCUAAUCAGAAAGCCACGGCUAACUACGUG
rnacentral:rRNA from 1 species